UCAGCUGGAUAGCUCAGCUGGUUAGAGAGUGGUGCUGAUAAUGCCAUGGUUGUAGGUUCGAUCCCCUUAUGGGACAGCUGCA